AGAACGAACGCUGGCGGCAGGCCUAACACAUGCAAGUCGAGCGCCCAGCAAUGGGAGCGGCGGACGGGUGCGUAACGCGUGGGAAUAUGCCUUUCGGUACGGAACAACUCAGGGAAACUUGAGCUAAUACCGUAUACGCCCUUAGGGGGAAAGAUUUAUCGCCGAAAGAUUAGCCCGCGUAGGAUUAGCUUGUUGGUGAGGUAAUGGCUCACCAAGGCGACGAUCCUUAGCUGGUUUGAGAGAACGACCAGCCACACUGGGACUGAGACACGGCCCCAGACUCCUACGGGAGGCAGCAGUGGGGAAUCUUGGACAAUGGGGGAAACCCUGAUCCAGCCAUGCCGCGUGAGUGAUGAAGGCCUUCGGGUUGUAAAACUCUUUCGACGGGGACGAUAAUGACGGUACCCGUAGAAGAAGCUCCGGCUAACUUCGUGCCAGCAGCCGC
rnacentral:rRNA from 1 species